AGUGAACGCUGGCGGUAGGCCUAACACAUGCAAGUCGAACGGCAGCACAGGAGAGCUUGCUCUCUGGGUGGCGAGUGGCGGACGGGUGAGGAAUACAUCGGAAUCUACUUUUUCGUGGGGGAUAACGUAGGGAAACUUACGCUAAUACCGCAUACGACCUACGGGUGAAAGCAGGGGACCUUCGGGCCUUGCGCGAUUGAAUGAGCCGAUGUCGGAUUAGCUAGUUGGCGGGGUAAAGGCCCACCAAGGCGACGAUCCGUAGCUGGUCUGAGAGGAUGAUAGGCCACACUGGAACUGGGACACGGUCCAGACUCCUACCGGAGGCAGCAGUGGGGAAUAUUGGACAAUGGGCGCAAGCCUGAUCCAGCCAUACCGCGUGGGUGAAGAAGGCCUUCGGGUUGUAAAGCCCUUUUGUUGGGAAAGAAAUCCAGCUGGCUAAUACCCGGUUGGGAUGACGGUACCCAAAGAAUAAGCACCGGCUAACUUCGUGCCAGCCGCCGCAGUAC
rnacentral:rRNA from 1 species